rnacentral:rRNA from 1 species
GACGAACGCUGGCGGCGUGCUUAACACAUGCAAGUCGAGCGGUAAGGCCCUUUCGGGGGUACGACGAGCGGCGAACGGGUGAGUAACACGUGGGUGGACCUGCCCUCCAGCUCUGGGAGUAAGCCUGGGAAACUAGGGUCGUAAUAACUGGAUAUGACUCCACGGUGCAUGUCGUGGGGUGGAAAGCCUUGUGCGGCUGAGGAUGGGCCCGCGGCCUAUCAGCUUGUUGGUGGGGUGGAUGGCCUACCAAGGCGACGACGGGUAGCCGGCCUGAGAGGGCGACCGGCCACACUGGGACUGAGACACGGCCCAGACUCCUACGGGAGGGCAGCAGUGGGGAAGUCUUGCGUAAUGGGCGAAAGCCUGACGCAGCGACGCCGCGUGAGGGAUGACGGCCU